AGGCCAUUCUUUUCAGCAGGGUCAUUCAUCCUAGUACUAUUCUAGUCCUAUCACGCUUAACUCUGUAAAUCUCUUGUGCCUAAUCACCGCCAAAAAUACUAUAGUCAGAUUAAAAAAAAACCCACAAACACCAGACGACGUCAGUUUCUUAAUCCGGUUAUGAUAUUUUGGACAAUGAUUAGGCACAAGAGAUUAAAAAGGUUAGGCAUGCUGAGGUUUGAGUAGUUUUAGGAUGGGCCGAUGCUCGAGAAGUAGGGCAUCAUAGUUCAUAUUGAAGCCAAUCAUCAAUGAAAAGUGUGAGAUGAAACUUGACAUAGCUAAGAUUUGAAUGACAUGAUAAGUCAGGGUGUGGAAAUGAUCGGUUAAGUUAGAGUUUGAAUGACAAGACUAAUUAACGAUCGAGAAAGUCUCACAUUAUCUGAUGCUUGUGAGAUUUUUUAAUUCAACUAUAAUAUUUUGGGCAAUAGUUAAGCCCAAAAGAUUAAGAGAAUCAAACAUGCUGGAGUUAGAGCUCUUCUAGUAUGAUCCCGUUUAGGAAGUGAACCGUCACAAUUCUAACUGAGCUGUAACAUAAUCUGGGUAUAACCCGAGAUGAAAUAUGAAAUAUGAAAAACCUUUAUAGUUAUAUUCUUGAAAUAAAAAAAUUAACAAAUAAAUAAGAUAUUUUUAAAAUUUUGAUGAAAUAUUUAGGCAAUUAUCCCAAAUAAAAUU
rnacentral:lncRNA from 1 species